rnacentral:sRNA from 1 species
UGACUUAAAGCCAGAUAACAACCCUGAAGAUUCUAAGGGCAGGGCUGCCUUUGCAAGUGGGGAUUCACAUUUUCAAAGAAUUCCCAGAAGUCCUAAGACAAAGAAUUCCAGCCUGCCGUCCUCGCCACGGAGCCUGUGGGGCCUGCUGCUGGACCCUCUGAUGGACACCCUCAUGACAGACCCCGUGCGGCUGCCCUCUGGCACCAUCAUGGACCGCUCCAUCAUCCUGCGGCACCUGCUCAACUCCCCCACGGACCCCUUCAACCGGCAGACGCUGACAGAGAGCAUGCUGGAACCAGUGCCAGAACUGAAAGAGCAGAUUCAGGCGUGGAUGAGAGAGAAACAGAACAGCGAU